AUGCGCGCUCAGGCGAGCAUCCUGCACCGUGUCGCCCUCGCCACCACCGGGCCAGGCGAGACGUCGUCGUCUCCGGUGAGCAUGGUGGCCCCGGAGCAGCAGCAGCAGCAGACAGCGCCUGUCAUAACAGUGAACUCGGACAUGGUGAUAAUCCUGGCCUCCCUGCUGUCCGCGCUCGUCCUCGCCCUCGGCAUCGCCCUCGUCACCCACUGCGCAUGCAGACGCCGGCGCUCCGCCAACUCUCCUCCGCCCCCCAAGGGCCUCAAGAAGAAUGACAUCGAUGCGCUCCCUGUCGUAUGUUUCGCUGCCGUGGCUCCACCGCAGUCAUCGUCGUCGUCCUUAGAGUGCGCGAUCUGCCUGGCCGAGUUCAUGGAGGGGGAGGGACUGCGCGUGCUCCCGCGGUGCGGCCACGGCUUCCAUGUCGCAUGCGUCGACGCCUGGCUACGGACCUGCGCCACAUGCCCCUCCUGCCGCGCCCCCAUCGUUGCCACGCCCACUGUGGUGGUAGUAGUGGCGACGAACAACAGGUGCGAGAGGUGCGGCGAGGUGGCAGCGCCUAACCGUGGCGUCGAGGACAUGUCCUUACCCCCAUUUUCUUAA
rnacentral:rRNA from 1 species